CCUACGGGAGGCAGCAGUGGGGAAUAUUGGACAAUGGGCGAAAGCCUGAUCCAGCAAUGCCGCGUGAGUGAAGAAGGCCUUCGGGUUGUAAAGCUCUUUUACCCGGGAAGAUAAUGACCGUACCGGGAGAAUAAGCCCCGGCUAACUCCGUGCCAGCAGCCGCGGUAAUACGGAGGGGGCUAGCGUUGUUCGGAAUCACUGGGCGUAAAGCGUGCGUAGGCGGCCAUUCAAGUCAGAGGUGAAAGCCCAGGGCUCAACCCUGGAACUGCCUUUGAAACUAGGUGGCUGGAACACGGGAGAGGUGAGUGGAAUUCCGAGUGUAGAGGUGAAAUUCGUAGAUAUUCGGAAGAACACCAGUGGCGAAGGCGGCUCACUGGACCGUUGUUGACGCUGAGGCACGAAAGCGUGGGGAGCAAACAGGAUUAGAUACCCUGGUAGUCCACGCCGUAAACGAUGAUAACUAGCUGUUGGGGCUCUUUGUAGCUCCAGUGGCGCAGCUAACGCAUUAAGUUAUCCGCCUGGGGAGUACGGCCGCAAGGUUAAAACUACAAAUGAAAUUGACGG
rnacentral:rRNA from 1 species